CCUACGGGCGGCAGCAGUAGGGAAUAUUCCUCAAUGGGGGAAACUCUGACCCAGCAACGCCGCGUGGGUGAUGAAGGUUUUCGGAUUGUAAACCUCUUUUGUUAGAGAAGAUAAUGACGGUAUCUAACGAAUCAGCACCGGCCAACUCCGUGCCAGCAGCCGCGGUAAAACGGAGGGUGCAAGCGUUACUCGGAAUCACUGGGCGUAAAGAGCGCGGAGGCGGGAUAGCAAGUCAGAUGUGAAAGCCUAUGGCUUAACCAGAGAACUGCAUUUGAAACUGUUAGUCUAGAGUAUAGGAGAGGAAGGUGGAAUUCUAGGUGUAGGGGUAAAAUCCGUAGAGAUCAAGAGGAAUACUCGUUGCGAAGGCGACCUGCUAGAACGUAACUGACGCUGAUGCGCGAAAGCGUGGGGAGCAAACAGGAUUAGAUACCCGGGUAGUC
rnacentral:rRNA from 1 species